UGUAUUUGGUGUCUAGCUAAAUAAUGCAUUGUUCAAUGCUUACUGAAGACAACAGCACACGGUUUGACUGAAUUUGAAAGAAAAAGAUGAUGACUUUGGAUGUUGUCUGAGUCCACUGUCAGACAGGAUUUUGCUGAGGAUGUAUUAAGUUGUGCUGGCACUCAUCAAAACCCAUCUCACUGCAGUGUGCUGCCAUCAGUGGCACUGCUGCUCACCUCCCAGAAUAUAAUAGUCCAAACAUUCAC